rnacentral:rRNA from 1 species
GACGAACGCUGGCGGCGUGCUUAACACAUGCAAGUCGAACGGAAAGGCCCUGCUUGCAGGGUACUCGAGUGGCGAACGGGUGAGUAACACGUGGGUGAUCUGCCCUGCACUUCGGGAUAAGCCUGGGAAACUGGGUCUAAUACCGGAUAGGAGCCAUUUUUAGUGUGAUGGUUGGAAAGUUCUUUCGGUGUAGGAUGAGCUCGCGGCCUAUCAGCUUGUUGGUGGGGUAAUGGCCUACCAAGGCGGCGACGGGUAGCCGGCCUGGGAGGGUGGACGGCCACAUUGGGACUGGGAUACGGCCCAGACUCCUACGGGGGGCAGCAGUGGGGAAUAUUGCACAAUGGGCGCAAGCCUGAUGCAGCGACGCCGCGUGGGGGAUGACGGCCUUCGGGUUGUAAACUCCUUUCGCUAGGGACGAAGCUUUUUGUGACGGUACCUAGAGAAGAAGCACCGGCUAACUACGUG